rnacentral:rRNA from 1 species
UACAGAGGUCCCAAGCGUUGUUCGGAUUCACUGGGCGUAAAGGGUGCGUAGGCGGUCGGGUAAGUCUGAUGUGAAAUCUCACAGCUUAACUGUGAAACUGCAUUGGAUACUAUCCGGCUCGAGGAAUGGAGGGGAUACUGGAAUACUUGGUGUAGCAGUGAAAUGCGUAGAUAUCAAGUGGAACACCAGUGGCGAAGGCGAGUCUCUGGACAUUUCCUGACGCUGAGACACGAAAGCCAGGGGAGCGAACGGG